GAUGAACGCUGGCGGCGUGCCUAAUACAUGCAAGUCGAGCGAACGGGCGCGAAGCUUGCUUCUCUGAUGUUAGCGGCGGACGGGAGAGUAACACGUGGAUCACCUACCUAUAAGACUGGGAUAACUUCGGGAAACCGGAGCUAAUACCGGAUGAUAUUUUCAACCGCAUGGUUCAAAAGUGAAAGACGGUCUUGCUGUCCCUUAUAGAUGGAUCAGCGCUGCAUUAGCUAGUUGGUAAGGUAACGGCUUACCAAGGCAACGAUGCAUAGCCGACCUGAGAGGGUGAUCGGCCACACUGGAACUGAGACACGGUACAGAGUCCUACGGGAGGCAGCAGUAGGGAAGCGUCCGAAAUGGGCGAAAGCCUGACGAAGCAACGCCGCGUGAGUGAUGAAGGUCUUCGGGUCGUAAAACUCUGUUAUUAGGGAAGAACAUAUGUGGAAGUAACUGUGCACAUCUUGACGGUACCUAAUCAGAAAGCCACGGCUAACUACGUG
rnacentral:rRNA from 1 species